CAAGCUGCGUAAAUGCGCACUCUGUUAAGACACUUUUGGGUGACCUGGGCACAGAGGGUGCGCCAACUCUCCAAAUCCAAAAUCAACAAAGAAAGACAAAGAAGUCAUUUUUGCGUGUGUGUGCGCGCAGGGACGCGUUUUGGCGCCUGGAGCCGAGCAGCCUGAGCCAGACAAGCCAGGAGGAGCCUCUCCCCGUGCCGCUGCGUCCCAGCCUGGGAUGUUGUGAGCCUGCAUGUCGCUGGAGACUAGAGGAGGAGUCCGGGAAGAGAAAGAGGAAAGUUUCUCUCAGGCUUUUGGGGAAAGCAGGGCAGGAAGCAGCUUGGCUCUCAGACAAUGGAACACAUCAAAAAGCACCAACCAGCCUCACCAACUUCUCUCUCUCUCUCCCACACACACACACACAAACACAGAGCAAGACAAACAGGACAUUCCAGCUGCCGGCUGCACCGGAUUCCUCGCCUUGGCUAAUCUGAAACGGAGAGUGAGACUGGGAGUGGAGCAGAGCAGAGAGGCAGGGUGAGAACUAUGGGUGAGGACAGGAGGUCUCCUCUAGGUGGUCCAGGUUUUCAGCAUUUUGUGUCUGACGCAAAUGAACCCAGUGGCGUAGCUUGACACAUUUGUGGCCCCCGACAAGGAGCAUACCAGAACACCCAAGUUAAGAAAAUGUCCUUCACUGCUACCACACGCAAACACAGCCGUCGUCAGAGUACGCACAGGUUUCCCUAAACAACCACCCAGGGAGAUCUCUACAGAUCCAGUUUCAGGUGGUAGAGAGCUGAGCAACAUAUUGCAGACAUCCCUCUUCCCUGCCUCAUCCACCAGCUACUCCUGGGGGUCCUGAGGGACUUCCAAGCCAGAUGGGAAAUGCAUUCCCUCCAGUGUCUCCUGGGUCUGGCCCUGGGUCUCCUGCCGAUUGGAAAUGCACAGAAUACCUCCACAGGGAAGCAAGAAGGAGGUCUACUAGUCACUUAGCCACUACUGGUUGUCUUCAGCAUGAAGCCUUACGAAUAAAAACAACCCCAAAGAAAGGAGAGGAAUUCUCCAACAACUUCAACUCUUUUCAACUGAAAAAGGAGGAGGGACAUUACACAUCAAAAGUCACAGCGCACCAUGCCAAGGCUCUCACCUUUGUCUGCUGCCUAUUGUCACUGACAAUACUAAAAACAAAGAAGUGCAAUAAAGGGUGUUAAUUUGCCCCUUUCUGCAUUUCCUAUAAUCGUAUAUUAUUUAUUUUUUUCUCUUUUAUUCAGGAUUGCACAAUUCACUGCGGCGACCACAGGCUUUGUUCUCAUAAUUAAGGAAGUGGACCAGUUCAGCCGUUACAAAGCCACAGAUAUAUUGCUCGAGUGUGGGAAUUAAAGCAUUUACCCUUUGUUUUGUGUAUGUAAUCAUAGCUCGUUAGCAGUGAAGAUCUAAAACACCGUAUGUAUGUAACAUGGAAGGAUUUUGUACAUAAAUUUCAGAUGGAUUUCUUUGUAACAUGAAUCCCUGUAUUUCUACCAUUCACACCAUAAAAGUUGCAAAGAAAAUGUUUUAUGAUCGCAGCUGUUCAAAUGUCAAGAGAGGUCAAAUAUUUUUUCACAGUACAGGUGUGUAAAAUGCCCACAAACACCAUUGCUCGAAUUGAUCUUCACGGAAAGUACGUCAUGCUCACUUAAGGGCACACUCAAGACUUUUGGAUGCAAACUUUAUCCUCCGUACUGUACCGUGCUCUGUGGCUGCAUUUCUGCAUGUACAUGCCUGUGGUUCUGUUCAUAUCAAACUGAAGCUUCAACACAUGCGUACUCAAGCUCACAUUCCACCCCAGAAGCAGCGAUUUAUCUCCAGGAGUUCACGCGCGGAGCUGUACAUGUGUAGGCACCACUGGACCUCCUCACAUCACCUCAAGCAAGCUUCCAUAGAUACAUGAUGGAUCAUUGAUGGAAACUGGGCAGGAAACUGUUGUGCUACAGAGUCAGCGCAUACUGUCCAAAAUUUACGUCACGCAGACCCUUGUGGACCUCUGUGGACACAGACUGUAUGACUUCAAUGUGAGCU